rnacentral:tRNA from 1 species
GUUUUAAUAAUUUAAUAAAAAUUUUGGUCUUGUAAACCAAAUAUAAGAUCUUUCUUUUAAAACA